AUGACGCCCACUGGGAGCUUUACUGUUAGCAGCUGGUGUGGAAUUCUCUCCGCCACUGCCUUUCACCCUCUGACCCACCCAACCACCUCACUGGGAGGGUGUGAUUCGACAACGCCACCCCAGGUUCACCUCCUGGUCCCCACCUGCGAGGAGAGCUCCACAGAGAGCCAGCUGGAGCUGGUUUGCCUCCUCCUGAGCUUCAAACCCGGCAAAGCUGAUGUGAAAUGGCUGGUGAAUGGAAAGGAGAGCAGCCCCCCCACCCCGGCCUUUUCCUCUGCCAGGGGCACAGACGGCUUCUACAUGGGGCAGAGCCGCAGGAACGUCACCAAGCAGAGCUGGGAGCAGGGGGACGUCUACACCUGUCAAGUGACCCACCCAGCAGUGGGAGCAGAGCUCUCCAUGCACAACACCAGCAAGUGCUUGGCCUGCCUCAGAAGCUCACUUGACCCAACCAUCUACUUAACCAAACCCUCCUAUGAAGACGUCAUCAAAAAUUCUGGUCAUGUUACCUGUCUAGUUCUGGGCUAUGACUUAGCAGCCAGCAGGAUGGCGUGGAAAGUGGAUGGGCAGGUCAGCUCUGCGGCGAAGACAGAACCCCCCAAGAAGAACAGCAACGGGACCACCAGCCUGGUCAGUUCUCACCCUGUGUCGCUGGCACAAUGGGGACAAGGCACCAAAUUUACCUGCAAAGUGACCACACCCUGUUCUGGAGAACUAACCCAGGACAUAACCAUGAGCAAUACAGGUGUCAGCAACUGUAAUCGACACCCUCUGGAGGUGUCUCUCCUUCCCCCUUCCCUGGAGGACCUCUACAUAGCGCAGAACGCCACCAUCAGUUGUGUGGUGAGUGGCAUGGAGACUCCCGGCAGCCUGGAGGUCUCCUGGAACCGGGGUAGCGGGGGCCCCUUGGCCGUGGUCUCCAGGGAUCCGGUGCUGCAGGAAGAUGGCACCUACAGUGCAACCAGCAUCCUGCGGGUGUGCGUGGAGGAGUGGCAGGCAGGGGAGGAGUUCACCUGCACCGUGAAGCACCAAGACUUCCCGUCGGCCAUUGUCAAGACCAUCCGCAAGAGUCACAUGGUCUCCCUCCGGGCCCCUUCUGUCUACAUCUCCCCUCCUCAUGCUGAGGAACUGGCUCUCCGGGAAUCAGCCACCAUCACCUGCCUGGCCUCCGGCUUCCGGCCCAGAGACAUCUUGGUGACAUGGACCCAGCAGGACCGGCCCAUGCCCCAGGAAGCCUACACCAACAUCGGCCCCGUGCGGGAGGCUGGGAAAGAGGAGCGCUACUUCAUCUACAGCAAGCUCAAUGUCUUGGCAUCCGAAUGGGAGCACGGGGACACAUAUGCCUGCAUGGUGGGGCACGAGGGUCUGCCCAUGACCUUCAUCCACCGGAGCGUGACAAAGUCCCCAGCUCCUCACUGCCCAGUGGAGGAUCAAGGCAUCGAUGCAGAAGGAGGAGAGGAGGAAUCUGAUGGUCUCUGGACACCUGUUGCCUUCAUUGCUCUCUUCCUGCUCAGCCUGUUGUACAGCGCCGGCGUCACGCUGCUUAAGGUGCGGUGAGUGCCCGGCUCCGGGCUCCUAGGAGGUGGACAGCACUGCUUCAUCCUCUUCAUUCCCUCCCUCCAUCGUCAGCCCUCCCGGGCUCCUGCCCUCUCUCCG